rnacentral:rRNA from 1 species
UACGUAGGUGACCAGCGUUGUCCGGAUUUACUGGGCGUAAAGAGCGCGCAGGCGGUCGUUCAAGUCGAGUGUGAAAGCCCCCGGCUCAACUGGGGAGGGUCAUUCGAUACUGAUCGACUGGAAGGCAGGAGAGGGAAGCGGAAUUCCCGGUGUGUGGUGAAAUGCGUAGAUAUCGGGAGGAACACCAGUGGCGAAGGCGGCUUCCUGGCCUGUUC